rnacentral:rRNA from 1 species
GACGAACGCUGGCGGUGUGCUUAACACAUGCAAGUCGAACGAUGAAGGAGAGCUUGCUCUCCGGAUUAGUGGCGAACGGGUGAGUAACACGUGACUAACCUGCCCCUUUCUCUGGGAUAACGCUCCGAAAGGAGUGCUAAUACCGGAUACGAACUCUGAACUCAUGUUCGGAGUUGGAAAGUUUUUCGGAAAGGGAUGGAGUCGCGGCCUAUCAGCUUGUUGGUGAGGUAACGGCUCACCAAGGCGACGUCGGGUAGCCGGCCUGAGAGGGCGACCGGCCACACUGGGACUGAGACACGGCCCAGACUCCUACGGGAGGCAGCAGUGGGGAAUAUUGCACAAUGGGCGAAAGCCUGAUGCAGCGACGCCGCGUGAGGGAUGAAGGUCUUCGGAUUGUAAACCUCUUUCAGUAGGGACGAAGCGAAAGUGACGGUACCUAAAGAAGAAGCACCGGCUAACUACGUGCCAGCAGCCGCAGUAA